UUAUACAUGCAAGCAUCCACACACCUGUGAAAACGCCCUUAAUCCCUCACAGGGACAAGGAGCUGGUAUCAGGCACAAUAAUUAGCCCAAAACACCUAGCUAUGCCACACCCACAAGGGACUCCAGCAGUAAUCAACAUUGAACAUAAGCGACAGCUUGAUUCAGUCAGAGUGCAGAGGGCCGGCAAAUGUGGUGCCAGCCGCCGCGGUUACACCACACGACCCAAGUUGACCCUACAGCGGCGUAAAGCGUGAUUAAAGUUACCCUACCGCUAUAGUUGAACUACAAAUUAGCUGUAAAAUGCUUUUUACCUAGUAAACCCAAAAACGAAAGUUACUAUAUACAAAACAACUUGAAUUCACUACAGUUAGGGCACAAACUAGGAUUAGAUACCCUACUAUGCCUAACCAUAAACCCUCAACCUACACUAACAUCGCCAGGUAACUACGAGCAAAGCUUAAAACCCAAAGGACUUGACGGUCCCCCACAUCCCCCUAGAGGAGCCUGUCCUUUAAAUCGAUAGUCCCCGUUUAACCUCACCAUUUUUUGCCCCCAGUCUAUAUACCUCCGUCGUCAGCUUACCGCAUGAGCGUUAUAAAGUGAGCUUAAUGUUCAUAAACAUCAGUACGUCAGGUCAAGGUGCAGCUUAUAAAAUGGGAAGAGAUGGGCUACACUCUCUAACGUAGAGCAUACGAAAAACACUCUGAAAACCAGCUGGAAGGUGGAUUUAGAAGUAAAAAGAGAUCAGAAUACUCUUUUUAACAGAGCACUGGGG
rnacentral:rRNA from 1 species